rnacentral:rRNA from 1 species
UUGAUCCUGCCGGAGGCCAUUGCUAUCGGAGUCCGAUUUAGCCAUGCUAGUCGCACGAGUUUAGACUCGUGGCAUAUAGCUCAGUAACACGUGGCCAAACUACCCUACAGACCGCAAUAACCUCGGGAAACUGAGGCCAAUAGCGGAUAUAACUCUCAGGCUGGAGUGCCGAGAGUUAGAAACGUUCCGGCGCUGUAGGAUGUGGCUGCGGCCGAUUAGGUAGAUGGUGGGGUAACGGCCCACCAUGCCGAUAAUCGGUACAGGUUGUGAGAGCAAGAGCCUGGAGACGGUAUCUGAGACAAGAUACCGGGCCCUACGGGGCGCAGCAGGCGCGAAACCUUUACACUGCACGACAGUGCGAUAGGGGGACUCCGAGUGUGAGGGCAUAUAGCCCUCGCUUUUCUGCACCGUAAGGUGGUGCAAGAAUAAGGACUGGGCAAGACCGGUGCCAGCCGCCGCGGUAAUACCGGCAGUCCAAGUGAUGGCCGAUAUUAUUGGGCCUAAAGCGUCCGUAGCUUGCUGUGUAAGUCCAUUGGGAAAUCGACCAGCUCAACUGGUCGACGUCCGGUGGAAACUACACAGCUUGGGGCCGAGAGACUCAACGGGUACGUCCGGGGUAGGAGUGAAAUCCUAUAAUCCUGGACGGACCACCAAUGGGGAAACCACGUUGAGAGACCGGACCCGACAGUGAGGGACGAAAGCCAGGGUCUCGAACCGGAUUAGAUACCCGGGUAGUCCUGGCCGUAAACAAUGCUCGCUAGGUAUGUCACGCGCCAUGAGCACGUGAUGUGCCGUAGUGAAGACGAUAAGCGAGCCGCCUGGGAAGUACGUCCGCAAGGAUGAAACUUAAAGGAAUUGGCGGGGGAGCACCACAACCGGAGGAGCCUGCGGUUUAAUUGGACUCAACGCCGGACAUCUCACCGG